rnacentral:rRNA from 1 species
UGAGGAAUAUUGGACAAUGGGCGCAAGCCUGAUCCAGCCAUGCCGCGUGCAGGAAGAAGCAUCUAUGGUGUGUAAACUGCUUUUGUACGGGAAGAAACACUCCUUCGUGAAGGAGCUUGACGGUACCGUAAGAAUAAGGAUCGGCUAACUCCGUGCCAGCAGCCGCGGUAAUACGGAGGAUCCAAGCGUUAUCCGGAUUCAUUGGGUUUAAAUGGUCCGUAGGCGGUUUAGUAAGUCAGUGGUGAAAGCCCAUCGCUCAACGAUGGAACGGCCAUUGAUACUGCUAGACUUGAAUUAUUAGGAAGUAACUAGAAUAUGUAGUGUAGCGGUGAAAUGCUUAGAUAUUACAUGGAAUACCAAUUGCGAAGGCAGGUUACUACUAAUGGACUGACGCUCAUGCACGAAAGCGUGGGGAGCAAACA